CACGUAGGGUCCGAGCGUUGUCCGGAGUUACUGGGCGUAAAGCGCGCGCAGGCGGUCGCGCACAUCGGCGGUGAAAGCCCCCCGCCUCAACGGGGGAGGGUCCGGUCGAGAUGGCGCGACUGGAGGCAGGGAGAGGGGCGGUGGGAAUUCCGGGUGUAGUGGUGAAAUGCGUAGAGAUCCGGAGGAACACCAGUGGCGAAGGCGGCC
rnacentral:rRNA from 1 species